CCGGCACGGGUGAGUAACACGUAUGCAAUCCACCUGUAACAGGGGGAUAACCCGGAGAAAUCCGGACUAAUACCCCAUAAUAUGGGCGUUCCGCAUGGAGAGUCCAUUAAAGAGAGCAAUCUUGGUUACAGACGAGCAUGCGCUCCAUUAGCCAGUUGGCGGGGUAACGGCCCACCAAGGCGACGAUGGAUAGGGGUUCUGAGAGGAAGGUCCCCCACAUUGGAACUGAGACACGGUCCAA
rnacentral:rRNA from 1 species